CCUCUGUAGCUCAGUUGGUUAGAGGCUGCACCGAAAUCGCAGGGUCGUAGGUUCAAUUCCUAUACCAGAGGA
rnacentral:tRNA from 1 species